rnacentral:rRNA from 1 species
AUUGAACGCUGGCGGCAGGCUUAACACAUGCAAGUCGAGCGGGGUGAUGGUGCUUGCACUAUCACUUAGCGGCGGACGGGUGAGUAAUGCUUAGGAAUCUGCCUAUUAGUGGGGGACAACAUCUCGAAAGGGAUGCUAAUACCGCAUACGUCCUACGGGAGAAAGCAGGGGAUCACUGGUGACCUUGCGCUAAUAGAUGAGCCUAAGUCGGAUUAGCUAGUUGGUGGGGUAAAGGCCUACCAAGGCGACGAUCUGUAGCGGGUGUGAGAGGAUGAUCCGCCACACUGGGACUGAGACACGGCCCAGACUCCUACGGGAGGCAGCAGUGGGGAAUAUUGGACAAUGGGGGGAACCCUGAUCCAGCCAUGCCGCGUGUGUGAAGAAGGCCUUAUGGUUGUAAAGCACUUUAAGCGAGGAGGAGGCUCUCUUGGUUAAUACCCAAGAUGAGUGGACGUUACUCGCAGAAUAAGCACCGGCUAACUCUGUGCCAGCCGCCGCGGUAA